UACGUAGGGUGCUAGCGUUAUCCGGAUUUACUGGGCGUAAAGCGUGCGCAGGUGGUCUUUCAAGUCGGUGGUUAAAGGCUACGGCUCAACCGCAUUCAGCCGCCGAAACUGGAAGACUUGAGUGCAGGAGAGGAAAGUGGAAUUCCCAGUGUAGCGGUGAAAUGCGUAGAUAUAAGGAGGAACACCAGUGGCGAAGGCGACUGACUGGUCUGUGAUUGACGCUGAGGCACGAAAGCGUGGGUAGCAAACAGG
rnacentral:rRNA from 1 species